rnacentral:lncRNA from 1 species
GGGGUGCACACAGCGCAUGCAUGCAGCUGCUUUGCAUGUGGGUGUGUGCACAUCGUGCAUGCAUGCAGCUCUUCUGUAUGUGGGUUUGCAUAUAAUGCAUGCAUGCAGCUCCUUUGCUUGGGGUGUGUGCAUAUAGUGCAUGCAUGCAGCUGCUUUGCGUGUGGGUGUGCACCUCGUGCAUGCAUGCAGCUGCUUUGCAUAUGAGUGUGUGCACAUAGUGCAUGCAUGCAGCUCUUUUGCAUGUGGGUGUGCACAUAGUGCAUGCAUGGAGCUGCUUUGCAUGUGAGUGUGUGGCCAUGUUGCAUGCAUGCAGCUGCGUUGCAUGUGUGUGUGCACAUAGUGCAU